GUGGGGAAUAUUGCACAAUGGGGGAAACCCUGAUGCAGCGACGCCGAGUGAGGGAAGAAGGUUUUCGGAUUGUAAACCUCUGUCCUUGGUGAAGAUAAUGACGGUAACCAAGGAGGAAGCUACGGCUAACUACGUGCC
rnacentral:rRNA from 1 species